rnacentral:rRNA from 1 species
GAUGAACGCUGGCGGCGUGCCUAAUACAUGCAAGUCGAGCAAACGGACGAGAAGCUUGCUUCUCUGAUGUUAGCGGCGGACGGGUGAGUAACACGUGGAUAACCUACCUAUAAGACUGGGAUAACUUCGGGAAACCGGAGCUAAUACCGGAUGAUAUUUUGAACCGCAUGGUUCAAAAGUGAAAGACGGUCUUGCUGUCACUUAUAGAUGGAUCCGCGCUGCAUUAGCUAGUUGGUAAGGUAACGGCUUACCAAGGCAACGAUGCAUAGCCGACCUGAGAGGGUGAUCGGCCCCACUGGAACUGGGCCCCGGUCCAGACUCCUCCGGGAGGCAGCAGUAGGGAAUCUUCCGCAAUGGGCGAAAGCCUGACGGAGCAACGCCGCUUGGGUGAUGAGGGUCUUCGGAUCGUAAACUCUGUUAUUAGGGAAGAACAUAUGUGUAAGUAACUGUGCACAUCUUGACGGUACCUAAUCAGAAAGCCACGGCUAACUACGUG